rnacentral:rRNA from 1 species
AGUGAACGCUGGCGGUAGGCCUAACACAUGCAAGUCGAACGGCAGCACAGGAGAGCUUGCUCUCUGGGUGGCGAGUGGCGGACGGGUGAGGAAUACAUCGGAAUCUACUUUUUCGUGGGGGAUAACGUAGGGAAACUUACGCUAAUACCGCAUACGACCUACGGGUGAAAGCAGGGGAUCUUCGGACCUUGCGCGAUUGAAUGAGCCGAUGUCGGAUUAGCUAGUUGGCGGGGUAUAGGCCCACCAAGGCGACGAUCCGUAGCUGGUCUGAGGGGAGGAUCAGCCACACUGGAACGGAGACACGGUCCAGACUCCUACGGGAGGCAGCAGUGGGGAAUAUUGGACAAUGGACGCAAGGCUGAUCCAGCCAUACCGCGUGGGUGAAGAAGGCCUUCGGGUUGUAAAGCCCUUUUGUUGGGAAAGAAAUCCAGCUGGUUAAUACCCGGUUGGGAUGACGGUACCCAAAGAAUAAGCACCGGCUAACUUCGUGCCAGCAGCCGCCGUAA